UACGGAGGGGGCUAGCGUUGUUCGGAAUUACUGGGCGUAAAGCGCACGUAGGCGGAUUGGAAAGUCAGAGGUGAAAUCCCAGGGCUCAACCUUGGAACUGCCUUUGAAACUCCCAGUCUUGAGUUCGAGAGAGGUGAGUGGAAUUCCGAGUGUAGAGGUGAAAAUUCGUAGAUAUUCGGAGGAACACCAGUGGCGAAGGCGGCUCACUGGCUCGAUACUGACGCUGAGGUGCGAAAGCGUGGGAGCAAACAGG
rnacentral:rRNA from 1 species